rnacentral:rRNA from 1 species
AUUGAACGCUGGCGGCAUGCUUUACACAUGCAAGUCGAACGGUAACAGGCCGCAAGGUGCUGACGAGUGGCGAACGGGUGAGUAGUGCAUCGGAACGUGCCCAGUCGUGGGGGAUAACUACUCGAAAGAGUAGCUAAUACCGCAUACGAUCUAUGGAUGAAAGCGGGGGACCGUAAGGCCUCGCGCGAUUGGAGCGGCCGAUGUCAGAUUAGGUAGUUGGUGGGGUAAAGGCUCACCAAGCCAACGAUCUGUAGCUGGUCUGAGAGGACGACCAGCCACACUGGGACUGAGACACGGCCCAGACUCCUACGGGAGGCAGCAGUGGGGAAUUUUGGACAAUGGGCGCAAGCCUGAUCCAGCAAUGCCGCGUGCAGGAAGAAGGCCUUCGGGUUGUAAACUGCUUUUGUACGGAACGAAACGGCUCUGGUUAAUACCCGGGGCUAAUGACGGUACCGGAAGAAUAAGCACCGGCUAACUACGUG